UACGUAGGUGGCAAGCGUUGUCCGGAUUUACUGGGCGUAAAGAGCGCGCAGGCGGUCGUGCAAGUCGCGUGUGAAAGCCCCCGGCUCAACUGGGGAGGGUCACGCGAUACUGCUCGACUCGAAGGCAGGAGAGGGAAGUGGAAUUCCCGGUGUAGUGGUGAAAUGCGUAGAUAUCGGGAGGAACACCAGUGGCGAAGGCGACUUCCUGCCCUGUUCUUGACGCUGAGGCGCGAAAGCUAGGGUAGCAAACGGG
rnacentral:rRNA from 1 species